rnacentral:rRNA from 1 species
CCUGACCGAGCGACGCCGCGUGAGCGAUGAAGGCCUUCGGGUUGUAAAGCUCGUGUCGGGGGGGGAGAAAGGGAAACUUGAUCGACCCCCGGAGGAAGCACGGGCUAAGUUCGUGCCAGCAGCCGCGGUAAGACGAACCGUGCGAACGUUGUUCGGAAUCACUGGGCUUAAAGGGCGCGUAGGCGGGUCGUCAAGUCAGGGGUGAAAUCCUGCGGCUCAACCGCAGAAGUGCCUUUGAUACUGACGGUCUCGAGGGAGGUAGGGGCGUGUGGAACUUCCGGUGGAGCGGUGAAAUGCGUAGAUAUCGGAAGGAACGCCGGUGGCGAAAGCGACGCGCUGGACCUCUUCUGACGCUGAGGCGCGAAAGCCAGGGGAGCAAACGGGAUUAGAUACCCCGGUAGUCCUGGCCCUAAACGAUGGGUACUAGGUAGUGGACUUGACAUGGGUUCACUGCCGAAGCAAAAGUUUUAAGUACCCCGCCUGGGGGAGUAUGGUCGCAAGGCUGAAACUCAAAGGAAUUGACGGGGGC